UUUGGGCGCGUCUCCCUUCUCGGGAGACACUCUCAACCCCACGAACCCUUGACCUCAAAUCGGGUGAGACUACCCGCUGAACUUAAGCAUAUCAAUAAGCGGAGGA
rnacentral:rRNA from 1 species